rnacentral:rRNA from 1 species
AUUGAACGCUGGCGGCAUGCCUUACACAUGCAAGUCGAACGGCAGCGGGCCUUCGGGUGCCGGCGAGUGGCGAACGGGUGAGUAAUGCUUCGGAAUCUUCCUCGUAGUGGGGAAUAACCUGGGGAAACUCAGGCUAAUACCGCAUACGAACUACGGUUGAAAGCAGGGGAUCGCAAGACCUUGCGCUAUGAGAUGAGCCGAAGUCGGAUUAGCUAGUUGGUGAGGUAAAGGCUCACCAAGGCGACGAUCCGUAGCUGGUCUGAGAGGACGACCAGCCACACUGGGACUGAGACACGGCCCAGACUCCUACGGGAGGCAGCAGUGGGGAAUAUUGGACAAUGGGGGCAACCCUGAUCCAGCGACGCCGCGUGUGUGAAGAAGGCCUGCGGGUUGUAAAGCACUUUUAGUGGGGAUGAAAAGCCAAGGGUUAAUACCCUUUGGUCUUGACCUAACCCAAAGAAAAAGCACCGGCUAACUCUGUGCCAGCAGCCGCGGUAAU